rnacentral:rRNA from 1 species
GAUGAACGCUGGCGGCGUGCCUAAUACAUGCAAGUCGAGCGAACGGACGAGAAGCUUGCUUCUCUGAUGUUAGCGGCGGACGGGUGAGUAACACGUGGAUAACCUACCUAUAAGACUGGGAUAACUUCGGGAAACCGGAGCUAAUACCGGAUAAUAUUUUGAACCGCAUGGUUCAAAAGUGAAAGACGGUCUUGCUGUCACUUAUAGAUGGAUCCGCGCUGCAUUAGCUAGUUGGUAAGGUAACGGCUUACCAAGGCAACGAUGCAUAGCCGACCUGAGAGGGUGAUCGGCCACACUGGAACUGAGACACGGUCCAGACUCCUACGGGAGGCAGCAGUAGGGAAUCUUCCGCAAUGGGCGAAAGCCUGACGGAGCAACGCCGCGUGAGUGAUGAAGGUCUUCGGAUCGUAAAACUCUGUUAUUAGGGAAGAACAUAUGUGUAAGUAACUGUGCACAUCUUGACGGUACCUAAUCAGAAAGCCACGGCUAACUACGUGCCAGCAGCCGCGGUAAUACGUAGGUGGCAAGCGUUAUCCGGAAUUAUUGGGCGUAAAGCGCGCGUAGGCGGUUUUUUAAGUCUGAUGUGAAAGCCCACGGCUCAACCGUGGAGGGUCAUUGGAAACUGGAAAACUUGAGUGCAGAAGAGGAAAGUGGAAUUCCAUGUGUAGCGGUGAAAUGCGCAGAGAUAUGGAGGAACACCAGUGGCGAAGGCGACUUUCUGGUCUGUAACUGACGCCGAUGUGCGAAAGCGUGGGGAUCAAACAGGAUUAGAUACCCUGGUAGUCCACGCCGUAAACGAUGAGUGCUAAGUGUUAGGGGGUUUCCGCCCCUUAGUGCUGCAGCUAACGCAUUAAGCACUCCGCCUGGGGAGUACGACCGCAAGGUUGAAACUCAAAGGAAUUGACGGGGACCCGCACAAGCGGUGGAGCAUGUGGUUUAAUUCGAAGCAACGCGAAGAACCUUACCAAAUCUUGACAUCCUUUGACAACUCUAGAGAUAGAGCCUUCCCCUUCGGGGGACAAAGUGACAGGUGGUGCAUGGUUGUCGUCAGCUCGUGUCGUGAGAUGUUGGGUUAAGUCCCGCAACGAGCGCAACCCUUAAGCUUAGUUGCCAUCAUUAAGUUGGGCACUCUAAGUUGACUGCCGGUGACAAACCGGAGGAAGGUGGGGAUGACGUCAAAUCAUCAUGCCCCUUAUGAUUUGGGCUACACACGUGCUACAAUGGACAAUACAAAGGGCAGCGAAACCGCGAGGUCAAGCAAAUCCCAUAAAGUUGUUCUCAGUUCGGAUUGUAGUCUGCAACUCGACUACAUGAAGCUGGAAUCGCUAGUAAUCGUAGAUCAGCAUGCUACGGUGAAUACGUUCCCGGGUCU